UGGGGAAUAUUGCACAAUGGAGGAAACUCUGAUGCAGCAACGCCGCGUGAAGGAAGAAGGUCUUCGGAUUGUAAACUUCUGUUUUUAGUGACGAAGGAAGUGACGGUAGCUAAAGAGGAAGCCACGGCUAACUACGUGCCAGCAGCCGCGGUAAUACGUAGGUGGCAAGCGUUGUCCGGAUUUACUGGGUGUAAAGGGUGCGCAGGCGGGACUGCAAGUUGGAUGUGAAAUACCGGGGCUUAACCCCGGAGCUGCAUCCAAAACUGUAGUUCUUGAGUGAAGUAGAGGUAAGCGGAAUUCCGAGUGUAGCGGUGAAAUGCGUAGAUAUUCGGAGGAACACCAGUGGCGAAGGCGGCUUAACUGGGCUUUAACUGACGCUGAGGCACGAAAGCAUGGGUAGCAAACAGGAUUAGAUACCCUGGUAGU
rnacentral:rRNA from 1 species